GGUUCUAUGGUCUAGCGGUUUAGGACUCCAGAUUUUGACACACCACGCGUACCUUCUGGCAACCCCGGUUCGAUCCCGGGUAGGACCU
rfam:Penicillium digitatum PHI26 unplaced genomic scaffold Scaffold_75, whole genome shotgun sequence.